GCAGGUUUCGCAUCGCUGCACAAUUUGAUGUCAUCGUCAGAUCUGCCCUGUGCUGGGAAAUGGGACCCGUCAGUGCCGGAUCAGAUGCAACUGGUUUUGCAAAGGAGAUUUGCUACCCUCAAUUCACACAAGAACAGUCUUCCUCCACUGUCUGAAAUCUCAGUAACCUGCUGCUGUGCCCCAGGAACCACAACGCAGCCUCCUGCCCAGGUUGAUGUUGGAACUCAUCUCCUUGGGAGCCCUUGGGAGCUGCUGGAUUGCCCCAUUUGGUUGUCCUUUCAGUACCUCCUCCUGCUGACGGAGCCUAUGGACCUCAUGUCCAAAGCUUGUCAGGUAGAAAUGUGACCAAACCCGAUGUUUUAUAGAUAGGUGAUAAAG
ensembl:lncRNA